GACACUACAGAGAGGUUCCCAUCAGUCCUUGCAUCACUGGCCGGCCUCCCUGGCAGUCAACCCGCAGGAGAGCAUGCUGGUGCCGCUUUCCGAAGUGAUGCUGACGCACAGCCCUGUGGGGUUCCAAACAGUUCCGGGGAAGGAGUGGGCGCCAAGCCAAGCUGGGACUCCUGAUGUCACAGAGGAAUCUUAGCACUUGGAAGGCUGACAGAGCCUGCCUUUGUCAGUUAUGCUGCGUUGCAAGUCAGAAGGGAACUGAAGCUCCAGAAAGCCAGGCAAAAUCAGAACAAGACUUCGAUAUGUCUUUGGAAGCACCAAAGAAAAAUUUGACCUUCGCUAAUGCCUCAAUCAGCAGCUUGACUUCAGGGCAUCCUCAGAAGUGACCAGAAAUGAAAUUCUCAAGGCACUUCCCAUAGAAUAUAUUAGGCACUCAAGACGAAGGCACUGGUAAUUCAGCUCAAGGUAUGUAACUAUCACACAGGAAUUAUUUUAUAAAGUAUGGGUGUCAGCAGAUAUAUUUUUGAAAUAGAAUUGAGUGUGAAAAUCUUUGAGUGACAACGUAUCAUUGUACUAUUUAGUGCCUUCCAGUUUUAGAGGAGAGUGAAAAAUGUAUAGUCAUUUAGACUUUUGACAUUGUGGGUGUACUUUAAAAUGAACGUGACAGUGAAUACUAUUCUUGAAUUGUCUUUUGAUACCAAAAAAAGAAACACACAUUUGGCUUACUUAACAUAUCUGUAGACACAGAAGAUUAUAUGAUUCCUUCCCCUAGUUAAGUCAAUCCCUGGUCAUGGUACACACCGCACAUUUGGGGAGUGGUUUCUCUUUGCAAGUACUUAUUAUGAGGUUAGCUCAUCCUCCUGGCCAAAACUGUUUCAUGAGCUU
ensembl:lncRNA